UAGUCUAUGCAGUAAACGAUGGGCACUAGGUGGUGGGAACGCCGAUUGUUCUCUCCGCCGUAGCAAAUGCGUUAAGUGCCCCGCCUGGGGAGUAUGGUCGCAAGAUUAAAACUCAAAGGAAUUGACGGGGGCCCACACAAGCGGUGGAGGAUGCGGCUUAAUUCGAGGACACGCGUAGAACCUUACCGAGGCUUGACAUGCAGGGAUUAUCCCAGUGAAAGCUGGGGGAUUGCGUUAUGUGUAACCUGCACAGGUGCUGCAUGGCUGUCGACAGUUCGUGUCGUGAGAUGUUAGGUUAAGUCCUGUAACGAGCGAAACCCCUGUGCUUAUUUGCCAGCGCGUCAUGGCGGGGACUAUAAGCAGACUGCCCCGGCUAACGGGGAGGAAGGCGGGGAUGACGUCAAGUCAGCAUGGCCCUUAUGGGCUGGGCUACACACGUGCUACAAUGGUCGGUACAGAGGGUCGCGAACCCGCGAGGGGAAGCCAAUCCCAGAAAGCCGAUCUU
rnacentral:rRNA from 1 species